rnacentral:rRNA from 1 species
AGAGUUUGAUCCUGGCUCAGGAUGAACGCUGGCGGCGUGCCUAAUACAUGCAAGUCGAGCGAACAGACGAGGAGCUUGCUCCUCUGACGUUAGCGGCGGACGGGUGAGUAACACGUGGAUAACCUACCUAUAAGACUGGGAUAACUUCGGGAAACCGGAGCUAAUACCGGAUAAUAUAUUGAACCGCAUGGUUCAAUAGUGAAAGACGGUUUUGCUGUCACUUAUAGAUGGAUCCGCGCCGCAUUAGCUAGUUGGUAAGGUAACGGCUUACCAAGGCAACGAUGCGUAGCCGACCUGAGAGGGUGAUCGGCCACACUGGAACUGAGACACGGUCCAGACUCCUACGGGAGGCAGCAGUAGGGAAUCUUCCGCAAUGGGCGAAAGCCUGACGGAGCAACGCCGCGUGAGUGAUGAAGGUCUUCGGAUCGUAAAACUCUGUUAUUAGGGAAGAACAAAUGUGUAAGUAACUAUGCACGUCUUGACGGUACCUAAUCAGAAAGCCACGGCUAACUACGUGCCAGCAGCCGCGGUAAUACGUAGGUGGCAAGCGUUAUCCGGAAUUAUUGGGCGUAAAGCGCGCGUAGGCGGUUUUUUAAGUCUGAUGUGAAAGCCCACGGCUCAACCGUGGAGGGUCAUUGGAAACUGGAAAACUUGAGUGCAGAAGAGGAAAGUGGAAUUCCAUGUGUAGCGGUGAAAUGCGCAGAGAUAUGGAGGAACACCAGUGGCGAAGGCGACUUUCCGGUCUGUAACUGACGCUGAUGUGCGAAAGCGUGGGGAUCAAACAGGAUUAGAUACCCUGGUAGUCCACGCCGUAAACGAU